CAGUACCAUCAGCUUGCAGGG
rnacentral:misc_RNA from 1 species